rnacentral:lncRNA from 1 species
UUCUGCUGGAUCAUGACACCACUGCUGAUUCAUGUUUGGUAUCCUGACACUACCGAACUGGACUGCUGGUCUCCCGACAAAAGGCAAUAAGAACUGUACCAAGGAACUACUUCUAAACAGGAUAUCCUCCAUGGCAGCUGGUAACUAAGACAGUGCAAAGGAAUGCGUGGCCGAGAGGGUCUUCGAGGAGAUGAAGGGUUAUUCCUAAGAAUCUGGUCUCCAUUAAGAAGAGAGAAAGAGGAAAUGUGUUUGAGUUGCCGAAGGAAGACUCUAGACUACAU